GGGGACAACAGCUGGAAACGGCUGCUAGUACCGCAUAAGCGCACAGGACCGCAUGGUACGGUGUGAAAAGAUUUAUCGGUGUAAGAUGGACUCGCGUCUGAUUAGUUAGUUGGCGGGGUAACGGCCCACCAAGACAACGAUCAGUAGCCGACUUGAGAGAGUGAUCGGCCACAUUGGGACUGAGACACGGCCCAAACUCCUACGGGAGGCAGCGGUGGGGAAUAUUGCACAAUGGGGGAAACCCUGAUGCAGCGACGCCGCGUGAGCGAAGAAGUAUUUCGGUAUGUAAAGCUCUAUCAGCAAGGAAGAUAAUGACGGUACUUGACUAAGAAGCUCCAGCUAAAUACGUGCCAGCAGCCGCGGUAAUACGUAUGGAGCAAGCGUUAUCCGGAUUUACUGGGUGUAAAGGGAGCGUAGACGGCAUGGCAAGUCUGAUGUGAAAGCCCGGGGCUCAACCCCGGAACUGCAUUGGAAACUGUCGUGCUAGAGUGCAGGAGAGGUAAGCGGAAUUCCUAGUGUAGCGGUGAAAUGCGUAGAUAUUAGGAGGAGCACCAGUGGCGAAGGCGGCUUACUGGACUGUAACUGACGUUGAGGCUCGAAAGCGUGGGGAGCAAACAGGAUUAGAUACCCUGGUAGUCCACGCCGUAAACGAUGAA
rnacentral:rRNA from 1 species